GACGAACGCUGGCGGCGUGCUUAACACAUGCAAGUCGAACGGAAAGGCCCUGCUUUUGUGGGGUGCUCGAGUGGCGAACGGGUGAGUAACACGUGAGUAACCUGCCCUUGACUUUGGGAUAACUUCAGGAAACUGGGGCUAAUACCGGAUAGGAGCUCCUGCUGCAUGGUGGGGGUUGGAAAGUUUCGGCGGUUGGGGAUGGACUCGCGGCUUAUCGGCUUGUUGGUGGGGUAGUGGCUUACCAAGGCUUUGACGGGUAGCCGGCCUGAGAGGGUGACCGGCCACAAUGGGACUGAGAUACGGCCCAGACUCAUACGGGAGGCAGCAGUGGGGAAUAUUGCACAAUGGGCGGAAGCCUGAUGCAGCAACGCCGCGUGCGGGAUGACGGCCUUCGGGUUGUAAACCGCUUUCGCCUGUGACGAAGCGUGAGUGACGGUAAUGGGUAAAGAAGCACCGGCUAACUACGUG
rnacentral:rRNA from 1 species